CACAGGCCUGAGAGCUCCCUGACCACCCUCACUGCUCCUGGCUGCUCCCACCUGGGCCCCAGGCCCCACUUCAGGUUCCCGAGAACCCUUGGGUGCCCUCAACCAGUUCUUAGGUCCCAUUCCGCUUCGCGGUAGAAUGAAAGGGAUUUAGAAGUCUGCAGUAUUGGGAAGAGGGAGUGGAGAGACGGAGCCCAGAGUUACAGACGGUGGCGAGAGAUACGGAAGAAGGAGAGAUACCGAGAGAAAAAGAGGCACUGGGGUGGGGAGAGGGAGGGAGGGAGGGACGGAGGGAGGGGGAGGGGGCCCCAGCUGGCGGGAGCGGAGCCAGAGAGAAAAGGAGAGAAAAGUUUCCCGGAGUCUUCAUUAGUUGACUUCUGUGUCCACUGCUUCCCCCAGCCGGCCGAGCUCACCCCCAAUAAAGGAAGGAGGGGGGUCUUUAUUUUUUUUUUUAAGGCCCCUAAGACUCCAGUGUUUACAAGACCAGAAAUGCCACGGCCACGUCCUGGCAGAAAGAAAGGCUGAAAUGGAGGACCGACGCCUUCCUUAUAAGGUAUCCCUGAGGAAGAGGGUCCAGGAAAGAAGGCAACUUUGGGAUCACAGGGGCUUCAUUCUGGGCCCAGUGCCCAUUUGAGGAUGGCAAUGAACUUGGUUUUGCUCACUGGGGCCUGAGCCAGUAUCAACUUGGUAGAAAAAGCAAGCUUGAAGCCAGAAAGCAAGCCAAAGGAGGGAAGAAAGUGCCAGACGGAGAUGAAAAAGGACCACGCAGAGAAAUGCGGGGAAAGGAGAAAGCAGCAGAUUCCUGAACAAACAUGGUGGAAGGCAAGACAGGCACUCAUGGACAGAGGUUUAUGUAUCUUUAUUUUUUUUUAAUUUUUUAAAAUUUGAGUCUUGAUUUUAAAAAGGGAAAACUCAAGAAGGGGGGAGGGGAGAGGGAGUUAUUCGAGUCACAGCAUAUCAACCCUAGAAGGGAAAAACACUGGAUACACCGGAUCCUCGGUGAUCCUCGGUUUUGGAUCACCUCUUCGAUCCUUGGUCCUACAUCGCUCUGGCUCCUACAUUGCUCUGGCUCCGACCUGCCGCUGCCCCACAGACCCUUGGGCUGGGCCCUCGAAGUACCCCCCCCCCCACGGCCACCCGGGCUUCCUUGCUCUUCUUAUCAGCUCCAUCUUUAUGACUGAGGCUUGUUAACAAGACCAGCGAGCUGGCCGCCUACAUCUAUCUCCGCAGCUCACGCUCAACCAAGCAGCGGCGGGUGUGGGGACUGGUGAGGCACUAAUUAAUUGAUUCCUUUGGACAGUAAAAUACGGCCGCAUCUACACAGAACCCAUCGACUCAUAAACAAUAUCUCUGUCGGGUGUGAGUGUAUUGUCUUUCAAAGAAUUUCUCCAUAGGCAUGUGUCAGAUAGUCCCAGAUUUUUAGCUACUAAAGAAGGACCCAAGUGGACCUAAUUUUUAGGGGGCCAAAUCAGAGUUUGCUCAGCCCCCCAAAAUGCUUUAAGUUAUUACUGCCUCUGGAAAAGCAUUGGGAAUGGGUUUUGUUGAGAAAAACUUGACUUAUGGGAUAAAUUUUCCCAGUUGCUUGAGAUUGAGGUUGGAAAUGAGUCCAGGAGCUGGGCAGGCCAGAGUCUUCUUCCUGGUUGGCCGGGCAGAAUGGGGCUGUGCUAUGGAAUUAGAGAGGAGCAUAGAAGACAAGGUCCAGUCUUUACUUCAUACUGCUUCCUAGGCUUGAAUUUUGAAAGUAAAUUUUUAAAAAUUUAAACAAUCCUCACUCUUCAAGGAGCCCUUGUAUGCCCAGCACACACUCAGAACCUGCCUGUUACACGCCUUUCUUGGCUACAGCACUGCCCUAACUGGCAACCCAGAGUAACUGGAUAUUUAUAGUAGGUCCAGAAGAACAAAUCCUAAGAUAGAAAGGGUAAAGUAAUUAGAAAAUGCUAAUUCCAUGCAGGUGUGAUAUGUGCAGUUAGACACUGCUGCAAACAGGAGUUAGGGCUCAAAAUAUAGACCCUGACCUCAGACAAGAGAGGCAACAGUUAAACAGAGACAGGAGACCAGUGAUACAAAUAAUCCAUGUAGAUAUAGAGGGUGUUUUGAAAAGACAGAAAUAAUAGAAAGUACGGAAGGAUAGAAAAGAGCUUCUGCUGAUGGAGAAUGUUAUUGCUAAUGCUUGGGCUUUCUCCUGAUACUGUUUUUAAGAUUGACAGAGAAAUGUGUACUAUAAAUAUACAAUACUAUGUGAACCCAAAGUAUGUACUUCAAUGUAUUUGGUACACAUACACCAUAUAUGGAAACGUAAUUCACAGAAUAUAUUUUUCAUGUACUGAGUUGGUAUGCACUUUGUGUAUAUAUAAUAACAAGAUAUAUUUUCCAUAAAGUUUUAAAAUGUGGAUAUAUUAAUAAUAAGAUAAUACUAUUAAUAUCUAAUAUAAUUAUUAUUAUCUGGAUGCAUUGUCCAUGUGCUGAUUUUAUAUGACUUUUAGAGUGUAUAUACCCAUGUAUUUAAAUAGGUGCAGGACUGUACUGUCCCUGUGCAAGUGUACUGUUUAUACAUGUAAAUGAAUUUUUAUAUAUGAUGGAUAUACAUGCUAUAUGUAAUCUUUUUUUCAGGAGGGUGCUUUCCCAUACAAUAGGUGUGUACCUAUGUUUGU